AGAGAGAGAGAGAGUGUGUGUGUGUAUGUGUUUUCUAUUUGUUGUCAAGUUUUCUAUUUAGUAAUCAAAAAAAAAUUCAGAACCAAUUUCUGAAAACUAUGUGAUAUUAUUGUAACAGUCUUCUCAGGCAAUAUUCCAAGUGAAAAAUAUGGUACAAAUUGAUGCAACUUACAUGUAUUGGGACAUACGGAUGAAUGUUAUUGGGGGGCAUGGAAAGGAGGAAAUCCAGAAAUCAGGGUGUGCCAAGCAAUAGGAACCUAAGUAAAAUUUAAAUGUUUAACUUGUAUGUUCAUUGCAGAAUCAUUGACAAGCCAAGUAAAGGUGAAGAGGGCCCAUCAAAUAGCAUCAGCAAAUACAAUAGCCGUUAGAAUUUGUUCUCAUCAGAAGCAGUGACUUUCCCACACUACAUAUGUGUUUGUCACACAUAAGCCUUGGAUCUACGAAAGUGUCCAAGUUGGCCAAAUUUGGAAUGGCCAAGUAAUUAGCUUCAGGCAAAGUGAGGGUGAGAAUCAGCUUGUUCUUAUACUUGGAAUCAGGGUUUUAAGUACUCAUCUGUAUCACCUGGUAAAAGAUGUAUCAUACAAGCCUGAUAAGGUACUGGUACAAGCUAAAUCUGGUACUAUGGCAAUAUGUGGUACCAUUGUUAUCUUGCCUCCAGUGAUGUACCAUGUCAAUUUGGGGGUGUACCAUACAACCUGACCCAUACCGGUAAGCUAGCUAUAUGGUGUCCGGUACUGAGACAGAAACCUUGCUUCAAAUAAUACUUGCACGAUUGCAUCUUUUGCACAGUUAGGCAUCGCAUUCAUCAAGCUUCCACAGUGGAUAAUUUCUAGGUAAGCUGGAAUUGCCAUACGUUAGUUCAUUUGGAAGUUCGGCAGUUUGAGUACUUUUGUAGUUGUCAUACCACUAAGUAGAUAAUAUUUUUAGUUUGGCAGUGCCACUUCCAUUUUGAGCACAUUUAGGAUGGUCCCUAAAUCUAAGGGCAUGGAUACUGGGCAGAACUUAACAAGUGAUUAUGUUACACAAGGUGUGGUUGUCUAACAAGGAAUACAUCCUUUUGUGCUUAUAUUGGACCAGUACAUGGGUAGAUAUGAGUUUUGAAUCCAAGUGAUAUUUUACAUGAUUUCCAUAAAUAUAUAAUAUUAAAUUUAGAUUUUUUUAAUAAAAAAUUGAGAAUCAGCAUCUAUAAGAUGUCUCAUCAUGUACUAGAUAAUAAUGGAUCAUUUCUGCAUUAUUUUUGUCUUAUACAGUAUCAUUGUUUUUAGCAGGGCUGUAUUUUAGACUAAAGAAUAGUGAAACUGCAAGAAUAAUGUGCAGUAAGAGGCCUUUAGUAUCUAGUAUUCUUUAGGAAGCUUUGUCAAUUGGUUUUUUAACCAAUAAGGCAAGUGCAAAUAUGAGAUUGAAGGUUCAGUAUCUUAGGUAAUUUAGGAGCUGUCCUAGUAGAGAUCCCUCGUGAUAUAGGUCUCACCUCCUCAAUCCAUCUGCAUAUAUAGCAUCUUAUGUUGAGCUCCAUAUGGCGAAAG
rnacentral:lncRNA from 1 species